AAUGGGCUCUACACGAUACCAGACGUGGAAUAAGGGUCUUAUCUAGCAAAAUGAUCUGUCAUUUUCUUUAAAAAAAAAAGUAUAUGCUUUAGAAAUUUAAAUGUUUGCCUUGCACUGCUCUGCGAUGUGCAUCCAUGACUUCACGUAAUACGGAAUCACGUUGAAAAGGCAGUGGAAGUAUCGACUCAGUGUUUACAAUUCAAACGUGAAAGACUAAGUCAAAAGCCGUUUACAAAAUAUUUGAAUAUGUGUUAUUAAACAUACAACUUUUGAAAGGUCAUCCUUCUACACAUUUCUGAACACUGAGUCGGUACUUCCACCUACGUCGCGCGUGACCUUUUCCUCCAAUGAGAAUACCCUCAAAUUAAAGAUCAGAGUGUGCACUUUAAGCCCACUUUCAUUAUAUACCUGUAACUUGAACAUGUUUUAGUCAGCAGCAAAAACAAAAAUUCUGCCUGUGUCCAAAUAUAUAUGGACCUAACUGUGUGUAUAUAUAAAUGUGUGUGUGUAAAAUAUAUAAAUAUAUAUAUAAUUCUAAUUAUUAUUAUUAAUAUGGCGGAACCAUCCCAUCAAACUGGAAUAAACUGGGCUGGGAAAAAAAUGAAAUGAAGGGAAAGACCAAUUAUCCGAUCAAGCUCAGAAUCUCUGCAUAGACCCCACCCUUUCUCUUUUUUCUCUCUCCUCUCUCUCUUUCACCAUCCUUUACUGUAGUAGCCCUUCCCUGCUCUGCUGAUCCCACCUUCUCCCACAUACACACACAAACACACCCACAAAGCCCACAAACAUGCUGCCAGUCUCGCAUACACUCACUCUCUCAGCUCUGCCUCCAUCUGAUUGAGUACCUUUUCAUUCUUGGGCACUCAGCAACAGUCUCUGACUAUCUCACACACACACAAACUCACACCCCUCUGGAAGGAAUCCUGCAGUUUGCGGCUGCAGUGCUCUGGAUAUGCCGGACCGUCUGCUCUGAGGUGGGAGAUGGGCUUGAGAGCUUGUGUCUGCUAAUGAACCGGAAGUCUUCCCCAUAGGCUUACUUUCGCUUUGAAGGAAAAGGUGGAUUUUCAUUUUCUGAAGUUGGCAACCCUAGUCCCACCCUUCCUGCAAAUC
rnacentral:lncRNA from 12 species